GAAUUGUCUUCCUUUAUUUUUUCAGAAGCCCAAACCAAAGUGGGAAAUAUGGCCGGGCGCUCUAGCUCAUGCCUGUAAUCCCAGCACAUUGGGAGGCUGAGGCCAGCGGAUCACCUGAGGUCAGGAGUUCAAGACCAGCCUGACCAACAGGGUAAAACCCUGUCUCUACUAAAAAUACAAAAAUUAGCCUGGCAAGAUGACACACGCCUGUGGUCUCAGGUACUGGAAACUAGACAAUUAUAAAUGAGCCAGGCUGGGCAUGGUGGCUCACGCCUGUAAUCCCAGCACUUUGGAAGGCAGAGGUAGACAGAUAGAUAGCUUGAGUCCAGGAGUUCAAGACCAGCCUGGGGAACACAGUGAAACCCUGUCUCUAUAAAAGAUGCAAAGAUGGCCGGGCACGGUGGGUCAGGCCUGUAAUCCCAGCACUUUGGGAGGCCGAGGCAGGUAGAUCAUGAGGUCAGGAGAUUGAGACCAUCCUGGCUAACACAGUGAAACCCCGUCUCUACUAAAAAUACAAAAAAUUAGCCGGGCGUGGUGGUGGGCGCCUGUAGUCCCAGCUACUCGGGAGGCUGAGGCAGGAGAAUGGCAUGAACCCGGGAGGUGGAGCUUGCAGUGAGCAGAGAUCACGCCACUGCACUCCAGCCUGGGCAACAGAGCGAGACUCCGUCUCAAAAAAAAAAAAAAAUGCAAAGAUUAGCUGGGCCAGGUGUUCACCUGUAGUCCCAGCUAUUCUGGAGGCUAAGGUGGGAGGAUUGCUUGAAUCUGGAGGGCAGCGGUUGCAGUGAGCCAAGAUCCUGACACAGCACUCCAGCCUGGGUGACAGAGUGACGUGUCUCAAUAAAUAAAUAAGCCCAAAUAUACUAAAGUAACUUUUUGUUUUUUGAGACAGAGUCUCACUCUGUUGCCCAGUCUGGAGUGCAGUGGUGCCAUCUUGGCUCACUGCAACCUCUGCCUCCCAGGUUCAAGUGAUUCUCGUGUCUGAGCCACCCAAGCAGCUGGGAUUACAGGCAUGUGCCACCACGCCCGGCUAAUUUUUUUGUAUUUCCUUUUUAGUAGAGACAUGGUUUUGCCAUGUUGGCCAGGGUGCUCUUGAACUCCUGGCCUCAAGUGAUCCACCCACUCGGGCUCCCAAAGUGCUGGGAUUACAGGUGUGAGCCA
rnacentral:lncRNA from 10 species